rnacentral:rRNA from 1 species
AUUGAACGCUGGCGGCAGGCCUAACACAUGCAAGUCGAGCGAGCGGCGGACGGGUGAGUAAUGUCUGGGAAACUGCCUGACGGAGGGGGAUAACUACUGGAAACGGUAGCUAAUACCGCAUACCAUCAGAUGUGCCCAGAGGGGUUUAGCUAGUAGGUGGGGUAACGGCUCACCUAGGCGACGAUCCCUAGUUGGUCUGCGAGGAUGACCAGCCACACAGGAACGGAGACACGGUCCAGACUCCUGCGGGAGGUAGCAGUGGGGAAUGUUGCGCAAUGGGCGCAAGCCUGAUGCAGCCAUGCGGGGGGUGUGAAGAAGGCCUUCGGGUUGUAAAGCACUUUCAGUGGGGAGGCGUUACCCGCAGAAGAAGCACCGGCUAACUCCGUGCCAGCAGCCGCGGUAAUAC